GGAAAACUAAUAAGACUACGUACAAUAAAUAGCCUACACAAAAUUAUAAAAAUAAAAUACAUUGCAAAAAAAGGGGAAAACGAAUAAAAAGGAGGGGAAAAAUGAGAAACCUAUACACUUUCAGCUUUUGUUCCUUUUGGCUUCUAAUUUUGUGCCAUCUUUGAGUGUUUCUUGUGCAUCCGUCUCCAUUCCAAGGCUGAAGAGACAAGCUGCUUGAAGGUA
rnacentral:misc_RNA from 1 species